UACGAAGGGGGCUAGCGUUGCUCGGAAUCACUGGGCGUAAAGCGCACGUAGGUGGCUUUCUAAGUCGAACGUGAAAUCCCCGGGCUCAACCCGGGAACUGCGUCCGAUACUGGAAGGCUUGAAUCCGGGAGAGGGAUGCGGAAUUCCAGGUGUAGCGGUGAAAUGCGUAGAUAUCUGGAGGAACACCGGUGGCGAAGGCGGCAUCCUGGACCGGCAUUGACGCUGAGGCGCGAAAGCCAGGGGAGCAAACGGG
rnacentral:rRNA from 1 species